AUUGAACGCUGGCGGCAGGCCUAACACAUGCAAGUCGAACGGUAACAGAAAGCAGCUUGCUGCUUUGCUGACGAGUGGCGGACGGGUGAGUAAUGUCUGGGAAACUGCCUGAUGGAGGGGGAUAACUACUGGAAACGGUAGCUAAUACCGCAUAACGUCGCAAGACCAAAGAGGGGGACCUUCGGGCCUCUUGCCAUCGGAUGUGCCCAGAUGGGAUUAGCUUGUUGGUGAGGUAACGGCUCACCAAGGCGACGAUGCGUAGCCGACCUGAGAGGGUGAUCGGCCACAUUGGGACUGAGACACGGCCCAG
rnacentral:rRNA from 1 species